GAAAAAAUAGGACUCUUUGAUGUUUUGCUUUGUUUGUUUGUUUCUUGCCUUUAUGCUUUUGUUUUGUUUCGUUUUUUUUCCUAUGUGAUGUAUGAAAGGAUAUUGUGUGUCAUUUUCAUAAAGUUGUUGUGUGUGUUUUUGCAU
rnacentral:ribozyme from 13 species